rnacentral:rRNA from 1 species
AGAGUUGAUCAUGGCUCAGGAUGAACGCUGGCGGCGUGCUUAACACAUGCAAGUCGAACGAAGCAACUUAUCACGAUCCCUUCGGGGUGACGAUUGUGACUGAGUGGCGGACGGGUGAGUAACGCGUGGGUAACCUACCUUGUACAGGGGGACAACAGUUGGAAACGACUGCUAAUACCGCAUAAGCGCACAGCUUCGCAUGAAGCAGUGUGAAAAGUUUUUCGGUACAAGAUGGACCCGCGUCUGAUUAGCUAGUUGGUGAGGUAACGGCCCACCAAGGCGACGAUCAGUAGCCGACCUGAGAGGGUGACCGGCCACAUUGGGACUGAGACACGGCCCAAACUCCUACGGGAGGCAGCAGUGGGGAAUAUUGCACAAUGGGCGAAAGCCUGAUGCAGCCGACGCCGCGUGAGCGAAGAAGUAUUUCGGUAUGUAAAGCUCUAUCAGCAGGGAAGAUAAUGACGGUACCUGACUAAGAAGCACCGGCUAAAUACGUGCCAGCAGCGGC